CUGAAAGGGCUGUUUACUAAACUGCUGGUGGUUAAAUCCAAAUGGUAGAAAUAUGAUGUGUCCGUAGCAGAGUUUUCCUGAUCAGCUCUUUGCCAUUCAGUUAUUUAUUUGCUACAAUUCAGUUUAGUGUAUAACCCUGUAGGUGAAUGCAUGAUACACGGAAUGUGAAUGUAUUUUUUAAAGUGUUUUGUAUUUUAAAUUUAUUGGAUUUCUCAAGUAAAAUAAGGAACGGUGUGUAUUUAACAAAACGUAGCUUGGAACUACAUUCUAUUUCUCUUAACCUAUUCUUUCUUUCCACAGACCAUCAACCAAUUGAGUUGGGAGCUGCUGUUUACUAGUAGAAGAUCCAUUUGUCACCUGCUGGGAAUCUCCCUUAAUAAAAUAAUUUGAAGACCAAA